GAAAAUACUAACACCGAUCACGAGACGUAGUGCUUCGUUCUCCUCGUUUUUUUUUUCUGUGCUUUGCUCGGCACCCUGAGCGUACCGCCAUCAUCUGCCAGCGAAUACACCGCGCCUUGAUUGUCCUGUGUCACCCCCUUCGCUUCCUCUCUGGCCCCGUGGUUUCAACUCUUCCCUUCGCCGUCCUUUCCUCGAUCACCCAAGCCGCAGACCUUCGCUGUAUUACCCCCUCUCUUCCCCCCGUACGCGCUGCCUUCCCUUCGCUGCCACACCCACCCAGGCACAGAAGCAGGAGCACAUUCAAGUGUCUGAGCGCAGCCAAGACGUGAAGGUGCAGCCACCGUCUUCUUUUUUUUGCUCUUACGAUUGUUAUUUCUUAUUCAGACGGCUGCUUCUUUUCAGAUUGGUCUGCACACACACACACACACCCUCACACACAAGCACACACGCACGCACGCAUACAUACACGAAGCCACACACGCACACUCGUGCGAAACGCAAGCGUGCAGGUAUCUCUCUUCUCUUUCUUUGCCCGUCUACGCCGCUGCUGAUUUUUUUACUGUUUUUCACCUCUUCUGUUGUCUGCACUCAGCUACCAAGUCUCUCACUUCGGUUGCGGUCUCCUCACGCCACCCUCUCUUCGCCGCUUUUUCUCUUUUAUCACGUCCUUUCGGCACCCUUGUCUGCCCCCUGCGGUCACGUGCUCGCCAUACGCUUGUACGUGCUCCGGGGACUGUCGUUGAUCUUGCGCUGCUCCUUCUCGAGAACUAUCUCUCCUUGUUUUCGUUGGUUCUAUAGAUCGCGGGGUGGUGAGACCCGUAGAGGCAUAGAACGCGCCGUCUGGGCGCACCAAGAUAGCUCAGCUGCUCUCAUCGCGCCCUCUUAGCCAACUCUCUCUUUUCUGCUUGCCGUUUACGUGUUGUGCUUCUGUGUUUUUCCAUCUCUUUUCUCGUGCUUGUGGUGUGCCGUGUGCGCGUGUUUUUGCGUCCUUGCCGUCCGCGCCACUUAGCUACCAUUUGAAACUUUUUGUGCGGUCGCUGGUUUUCGCUUUUUUUUUCACUCGUAACUAUAUCGACCUCGCUCUGCUUUUCGAGGAGACCGUGUCUUAGGUGUGCCGCACUAGCACGUGAAGAGGGGCUUCCGUCGCGCGAGGGUUUUACUAAAGUUGGCGCGUGAGGCAAAUCUGCCCGCGCGCGUGCUGCAUCGCAGCUCCGCGCUUACACAGGAAAUCAGAUACACACAUUACACCCGACCACCACACUGGACGGAUCUUUCUCCCUUUGUUGUCCUUGUGAGGUUUGGGCUUUGCACCAUACAGUGGGAUCAGUUCAUUCCCCCCCCCCCCCCACACGGCCCGCGCCAUAAUGCCGAGCUUCUUUCUGUUUGGGAGGAAGAAGGAUAAGAAGAAAAAGGCUCGCGAUGGUACCAGGGACGAGGGCGACGCGGCAACUCCCUCGUUGACGGCCAUGGAGAACUCUAACGACUCGAAAGAGUCGGCGACAAAGCACGGUAAAGGAUCCACUACGUCUCACGAUGCAGCGGGCGGGUCUACGCCCCCAAGUCUAGACACGCCGCCCGCCGACGCCUCCGGCCCAGCCACCGAGACUUCACCACCGUUGCCGCCCUCGAGGAAGCAGCAAUCCUAUUCCGAAAGCGCUCUGCAGGAGUUACCGCCACCGCCGCUGUCGUCAUCUCCGGCGACCAACUCGCCUGGUCUUCGGGCGAGUGCGGUUCAUCUUACCCUCCAGCACUCCACGCUCGAUGACGCCCCCGUCUCUACCCCGCACAGCGUGGACCUGUUUCCGUGCGAGAUGUCAGAGGUGACGAUCCCGCAGCUCACCGAAGUGUUUCAGGUCUUUCGGACGUUCCUCGACAACUGCACAAGCACGGAGGUGAAGCAGGAGUCUGUGUCGAAGCUGCGCAAGAUCCUUCCCGAGAUCGCCGCCGUCGACACCACUGUGUCAGAUGAGACGAUCAAGGCGCAGAACUUCCACCCGACAUUUUCGAUCGAGCCUAUACUGAGUCACUUGUUGGCGCAGCCGGCCCCGCUGCGCGCGCGCCUCUGCCUCGCCAUCUACCGCUUCUGCGGAGAGCUGUGCGAGGAGCUGGAGGGUGACCUGCUCUGCCAAGAGACAGGGCUCUUUAGUGGCCUGCAAUGUAUGAACCCGAAUCUGCGUCCCGCCGCCGACGGCGACUACGGCAGCUCUGAAGAUCCACAUCAAACCUCCCCCUUUGGUGGUAGUUUCGCGGAGAACGGGACUGCGAAGAUAGAACGCUGUCCUGAAAUCGAUCUCCCGAAGAUCUACAAGAGUCUCCUGCACAAGGAAGACUACCUACCGAGUGCCGAAGAGCUCAACGAGAUCUUCCUGCGAGUGCAGGAGCUGCUACGAGUCGAGCCAAAUGUGGUGAUGGUGGCGAUGCCGGCCGUUCUCGUCGGAGAUCUGCAUGGGCAGAUACGCGAUCUGCUGGAAAAUGUGCUGACGCUGGGGGGCCCACUCGUGUCGAAUGAGGCGCUGGCGCUGGCGUCCCCUAAAUCCCAUGCGGCCAAGUCGAAGGCGCCCACCUCCCAGAAGAGAGGCAGCGUUGCUGCGGCACCUCCCACCUCCAAGAAGAGCGGCAAGGCGGCAGGCGCAGCGAAGACCUUCAGUGGGGCGCUGAAAGGUGAUGAGAGCCGACCCACGCGGCCGCCGAACUACUUGUUCCUGGGUGAUUAUGUCGACCGUGGGCCGAGCAGCCUGUGCGUGAUUGCACUGCUCUUCACGGCCAAGCUAUUAUCGCCGAACACCGUGUUCUUGUUGCGUGGUAACCACGAGUGCCCGAAUACAAAUCGCUUCUACGGCUUCCUCGACGAAUGCCACCGUCGCUACCCCAUUGUGAACCACAAGGUCACCACGCUCCACAUGUGCACACGGUCGGCGUCCGAAGAGAACACGGACGAUGCGGCAGCAAAUCGAAGCGGCAGCGGCAGCAGCUCCCCAGGCGCCAGCUCCACCUGCGAGGGCGACAGCGGCGCCCUGAGCAAGAUCAAUACGAACAGCAGCGUCGAGCCGACCGCGGCUGAGCUGGGCGGGCAUCUCGGCAGGGACUGCGAUUCAAGUCCUGAUGACAUGGGGUGGGACAUGAAGGAUCACCCGCUGUGGCUUGUCGCGAAUGACGCACUUUGCUCACUUCCUCUCUGCGCCGCGCUUUACGAGGAGGUAGAGGAGGGCGACGACGGCGCGACCCUGCCGCCAGCCACUGCCGCUGCCGCGCCGAACAUCGAGGACAUGCUUGCAGCUGACGGCACCGAGAACCCUGGAACGGCAUCGAAAGCGAAAAAGCCAACCACAGCGAAAGCCGUAAAGAAGAGUACCCGGCGCAGCAUUGGUAACGCAAGUUUCGCGGAGCCCUUCAAGUCUCCAAAUCUCGCAGCGGGCAAGUCGUCUACGUUCACUGACAGCAAUGCACGCGCCACUAGCAGCAAGACAGCCAGUACCUCCGGCGAACCGUCGCCACUGUCCCCGCCAAGCGCCAGUGCAUCCUUUGCAAAACCGAAGAAGAUGCGGCAGGUCGUGCGCGUGUGCGCAAUGCACGGUGGCCUGUCCCCCUUCAUUGACGACAGCUUCGACGGCAUCAUCGCCAUUAACCGGUUCCGCAACAUCGAGCAUGGUGCGCUGGCCGACCUCACGUGGUCAGAUCCAUCCUCCAGCGCAGCCGCCGACGGCGCGACGGCGUCGGACUCCCGUGCGAACGCGAGCCAGCCACCUUUGAGCAAGUUCCAGUCUAUCUGCGUCUUCAACGGAGCCCCCAUUGGCUUCACCGGUAAUCCGCGUGGCACAGGGCACAUCUUCGGCGAGGAUGCCACGAUAAACUUCAUCAACACAAAUCAUCUGUAUUUUAUCGUGCGCGCGCACCAGUGCGUGCAGGAGGGCUUUCAGUGGAACCACAAAGACCGCCUGCUGACGGUGUUUUCCGCCCCAAACUACUGCGGUAUGCGCAAUAAAGGCGCGGUUGUUCUGCUGGAUAAGAAUGGGGCCCCUACACUGAAACAGUACACGUACAAGGAAGUUGAGGAGAAACCGGACGCGAAGACCACGGGCGCGCCACAGCCACCGAGGCUAUUCUCGUAGGGGCGCGCAUUGCGCACCCUGGCCCGCGCUACUGCGCGGUAUAGGAACCAUCUAGCUCAUCUCUUUUUUCUUCUGUGUAUGUGUCUUGUGGCGACUGCUAGUUGAUUGGGUGUGGUCCCUUCACUCGCCUCUCCGCUGUCCCUUGUGCGUGUGUGCAUGCCCACCUGCGUGCGUGUGGGUGGGUGUACACGACGGCUGGUAGGCGACGACUCCACUCGCUUUCCGCGUUUGAUCUGAUCAAGCCAUUUGGCGGUGCUUCUUGUCUCUUGCAUGUAUACGUUUCCUUUACCUUUUUUUUGUGGAUCGCCCUCGACUUUGCUGCCCCCCUCCUCGUCCUUCCUCCUCGCCUUUCGUGUCUUUGACUUGAUUCUGUAUUUGCUGGUUACUGUUUCGCGGGAGGAAGAAAACAAAGCAAAACGAAAAAAAAAUGCGCGGGUCACAGGUUGCGGAAAGGGGACGUGAAGGGUUUGCUCUGUGGCUGUGACCUCCGUCCCUCACUCUUUUUUUCUUCCAAUACUACCGUGGCCUUGCAUUCUAUAUAUAUAUAUAUAUGUGUGUGCGUUCGUAUUUUCUUUCGCAUAGGUGUUUGUGUGCCCACUACCCGCGUUGGCCACGUCGCAUGCAUGCACAUCCCAACGUGAGCACACAUGCGGAUAUGCAUGCACGAAUGCCGAUG
rnacentral:misc_RNA from 1 species